CCUACGGGUGGCAGCAGUGAGGAAUAUUGGUCAAUGGACGAGAGUCUGAACCAGCCAAGUAGCGUGAAGGAUGACUGCCCUAUGGGUUGUAAACUUCUUUUAUAAGGGAAUAAAACGAGGCACGUGUGCCUGUUUGCAUGUACUUUAUGAAUAAGGAUCGGCUAACUCCGUGCCAGCAGCCGCGGUAAUACGGAGGAUCCGAGCGUUAUCCGGAUUUAUUGGGUUUAAAGGGAGCGUAGAUGGGUUGUUAAGUCAGUUGUGAAAGUUUGGGGCUCAACCGUAAAAUUGCAAUUGAUACUGGCAGUCUUGAGUACAGUUGAGGUAGGCGGAAUUCGUGGUGUAGCGGUGAAAUGCUUAGAUAUCACGAAGAACCCCGAUGGCGAAGGCAGCUUACUAAACUGUGACUGACAUUGAUGCUCGAAAGUGUGGGUAUCAAACAGGAUUAGAUACCCUAGUAGUC
rnacentral:rRNA from 1 species